AGCUUCCUGGCUUGUGAUCUCAGGCAAAUGACUGUGGAGGUGGGCGUCUGCAGAGACAAUACGUUGGCAGAGCUCCAGCUAUAGGUUUGUUCCUGCUCUGUCCCUUGGCCCUGACUGCCCUUGUUGGGAUCCUGACACAGAGCACCUGCAAAGCAACCCCUGGCCAUGAUGGGGAGCUCAGUAAGCAGACACCCUGCUCUGGCGAGGAAGGGCCACACUGCAGCAGGAGUCCCUUGGGAAGUCAGCCCAGUACCGUGUCUCUGGACAGAGAUGAGACUGAGGACACUGUUGUGAUGGGGAUUCUCUACUGCAUGUACUGGACACAGUUGGACUUUGUAGUUCCCCAGCUCCCAGGUAGCUAACCCAGCUAGCAAGGCCUGGCCUCACCACUGAGGGCCUCCCCACAUCCUAGGCUGGACUACUCAGGAACAAGGCACUGGACUAGCCCAUGACAGGGCACUGGCCCUCAGAAGGAAAUCCUUUUUUGUCAUGCUGGAACUGGGCUCUCAGCUGUUAGUGCCGAGGUUUUUGUGUCUUGCAGAUGCACUGUACUCUCAGCCCCAGAAGACAGGGCAGCCUGUCCCUUGUGCGAGGCACUCAAGGAAGUGAGGCUCCAUCACAGACACCAACAGUUUGAUGCUGCACAACUACUUAUUUCUUAACCUACAGAGUGGGCAGAAUUUGGGGAACGCAAAUGCAUAUCUCUACACAGUUGUGAUGCUUUUUGUCAGGCUCUGUGCUCAGUUCAAAAUACUAGUGCUCACAGCCAUUUUCCAGAUCUGCGAGGCUGUCUCACCAUCUUACCCAAUCACACCAGGCAGACCAGACGGGAAGUGUGCUCAGGCCUGAGUUUAAACCCUCUUAGCCAGGUUCUCCACUUGAGACCCCUAGUUCCAGGCACAUACAAUGUGCCCACCGUGACCCCAAUCCUGCAACUGUAUCCAUGCUAGCAAACCCUUUACAUUGGUGCAGAGACCCACUGAAGUCAAUGAGGCUCCAUGUGGAUCAGGCCCAAGGGUGGGAGCCCUGAUUUCUUUGGAGAAUCAAAGUCCUGGCAUGCACACUAUAUAUUUUUGGAUGUGGGGGGAUAAUCUGACCUCUGACAGUCCAAGAGCCUGUGUAGAUAUCUGAUUUGCACAUGCAGUCACAGGACUAGGUGUGCAAAUUAGGUGGGCAAUUACAUGCUCAUUUUUGUGCAUGGCUCUAGGGUUCUUCCUCUUCCUCUGUCUGGAAGCUCUCGGCAUAAGGGCUUUCUCAGUUGGGGACCCUAUCUGUGGCAUUUACUCCUCUCGGUGGCCCCUCCAAACCCCAGGCUAGGCAUCUUCUGGGAAGGAUGUUGAACACAUUUAUUUUCCUUAGCAGUGGAUUGAACUUUUGGUUGGAUUAUUUGGCUUUUUAGUUAAAUCUCUGUUGCUAAAGUGCCCCAGGUGGCAUCA